ensembl:lncRNA
UUCCCUGCUCCUUUUUGACCAUCAAGGACAUGAAAAAACUUGUAGCAAUAAUGACUGAAUCACCCCUUGGGAAAGGCUUUCUGUGAGAAAGAAGCCAGGCAGAGCCAGCAGAAGACAAGGGGCUGGGAUUGGGGCCGACUCCAGCCAAAGGGUAGCUAAAAGACAGAAGCCUUCUCUCCAUUAAUUGCACAACAUCUCCAGCUUUGCAAUGUCUUGUUUGAGGGGAAGGCACUGAGAUAUGUGUACAUGUGAGAACUGACUGGCAGGAGACAUGUCUGCUCGCUGCCUCCAAGCAUGGCAAAACCCUUCUCAGCAGCUCCGCGCCAACACAUUUGCAUGGCAUGGACAGGGACCCUGCAGGAGUGGGACCAGCACAGCAGCUCUCUCCCUCCAUCCCCCACCGGAUUUAGCAUCGUGAGCCACUGACGUUUACUGGCCCUGAGUUGAGAGGGUGGUAACAUCCUCAACCCAGCAGAGCUGAACUGAUGAAGGUCAUGAAUCAAAUGUUGGACGUGAGGACUUCGACACAGUCAUCCCCUGUCCCGAGAGCAUCAUCUGGCUUUAGAGUCAGGGCUUGCUGGCUGCUGGCACGCAGAUCUGGACCAUUACAUGGAGCAGGCACAAGCUGUAUGAAAGCAGAAAGGAUCGCACUGUCGACAUCAGCAAUAACUCAUGCUACGCCUGCAGAGACCCCAAAACAGAAGUGCAGCCCACUCCCACCUUUCCUGAUGAAAGCUGCUAUCAGAGCCCAGCCAAAUGCCCAAAGAAGCAGGAGAGCUCAACUGGCCAUGGAAAAAAUCAA